UACAUAGGGGCAAGCGUUAUCCGGAAUUAUUGGGCGUAAAGGGUGCGUAGGCGGUCUGUUAAGUCUAAGGUGUAAGUGCAAGGCUCAACCUUGUGAUGCUUUAGAAACUGGUGGACUAGAGAUAGAUAGAGGCAAGUGGAAUUCCAUGUGUAGCGGUAAAAUGCGUAAAUAUAUGGAGGAACACCAAGUGGCGAAGGCGGCUUGCUGGGUCUAUACUGACGCUGAGGCACGAAAGCGUGGGGAGCAAACAGG
rnacentral:rRNA from 1 species